rnacentral:snoRNA from 1 species
CCUCUCGAAGAUGAAGAACUGGUGGAGUACAUCCUCACCGGGCUUGAUGACGAGUACGACUCGGUGGUCUCCUCCGUUCUCGCUCGAUCGGAAUCCAUCUCCGUGAGCGAGCUGUACGCUCAGCUACUCGCCUUCGAGA